rnacentral:lncRNA from 1 species
UUCAAGGGCUUCUAUAUCUCCAAGAAUACUCAAACUCUACAAUAAUUCACCGUGAUCUGAAAUCUAGCAACAUUUUGUUAGAUGAUAACAUGAACCCGAAAAUAUCAGAUUUUGGUCUAGCCAGAGCUUUCGGAAAGAAUGAACAUGAGGCAAACACUGGUCGCAUUGUAGGAACAUAGUAAGUGAAUUGCACUUUAAAUUUUCAGUAGACAUGCUUCAUAUAUCAUACCGAUCACAGACUCACAGUUCUUAUGUGAAAUGCAGUGGCUAUGUUCCCCCUGAAUAUGUAAGAAGAGGCAUUUAUUCCAUGAAAUUCGAUGUUUACAGCUUCGGUGUUCUGCUUCUGCAUAUCAUAAGUGGCAAGAGAAGUUCAUGCUUUUAUGGCAUAGAUGGAAAUCUAAACCUUCUAGAUCACGUAAGUCGAUAUGUACAAAGGCUUUCUAUGUUUUGCAUAAUAUAUAUGGGCAAGAAUUUAGAAUUGUACGACAUUAACUCGGACAUUUCAGGCAUAUGAGUUGUGGAAAAAAGGCCAAGGCAUGGAUUUUGUAGAUUCUACCCUAGAUGAUUCGACAUCGUCUUGCAAGCUCUUAAGAUGCAUGGGGGUAGCCUUGUUAUGUGUCCAAGAAAAUCCAGUAGAUAGACCAUCCAUGCUGGAGGUUUCUUCAAUGCUCAAGAGCGAAAGUGCAGCCAUCAUUAGUCCUAAAAAGCCUGCUUUCUCAGUUCAGGAGGAUGAAAAUGAGGAUCAUAUAUGCACAAACAGGGAAGAAAUCUAUUCAGCCAAUGAUGCAACAAUGUCUGAAAUUGUGGCCCGAUGACAGUUCUUUCUGAAACAUAACAUGUAAGAGAUCUGUAUAACAAUUUUGAUUCUUCCGUCUGUUGAACCAAAAAAAUAAAAUAAAAAUCUUGCGGACGUAAAAAGGAGAUAAUGGCAGCAGUAAAAGAAUUAUGGCAGCAAGCAUUCUGAUGGCAAAAAAAUGGAGGCGGCUCACCUUUUUUCUGUUAACAAAAAAGGUGCAGGUUGUACAAAGGCACGUUCACAGAGGCAUGGGAAGGAAUUUCAACAAACCUUCUGAUGGCAAAAAAAUGAAGGAGGCUCACCUGUGCUCUCUAGCUCGCUACCGAUACCUAUACGCGGUGCGUCCAGCGUAUCAGGGGGCGGUAGUGUAGCUCGUCUUCUGGCCUGCUCCAAAGUGUCACUGAGUUCUCCAUGCCGUGCUGAAGGCUCCUCACACACUGUUUAGAAGCAGCCGAGCUAUACCUGCAUCAAUUACGACAUCACAACCAUGUAAUAAAGAAGUGGCUCAAGUCGUGCAUAUCAGAUUAAAGCAGGGAAGAAAAGGUUCGGUACCCAUCGAAGCUACUGCCGCAACAAAUGUCAAUGCGUGCACACAUGGACGGAACCAGGAAUCGAAAGUGGGUUGGGCUAAUUUUCACACAGCACACUUACAAAAUAUUUUUUGUGGUAUUCUAAAUGAAGUUGGAUUAGCAGAGAGAGAAAGAAAGUCGAUGAAAAUGAAGAGACAAAAGGUUACCUGCCUACAGCUGAGUUUAAGAGACAUUGCGGAUAGAAAAUCUGUAUUAAGCAAAGAAGCUAAGAAACUGCAUGUAUAUAUAAAGGAUAUGAUCAGUUUUGACUUUUGAAGCAGGAAAUCAAAAGAAUACGAAACUAUUCUUGGAAUAACCUACAUGCUAGCAAGAAUGAUGCGAAUAUAACCGAUAGCACAAGAACGAUGCAGAGAUGGAAAACAUGUCCCCAGUUGAAUCAACAAGGAAAUCACAAGAACUUUGUUGUGGAUAUGUCAUAUAUGGUAUGGCAGUAGUAACUAUUAGAAUCUUGGACAGCCAAUUUGGCUUCAUUGCCUUUUUAAGGUUAAGGAUUGUCAUCAUUAUAUAAUCCUCAUAGCAACAAUAUUCUCUGUGUUGCUGAGUUGAAAAUGUAUCCAGAGAUGAAGUACAGAAGCGGCGAGAAUAUGUACCCAGGUAAAUAAGACAUUAUUAUUAUUUUUUUUUUAUUGGGCUGGGCUGGGCUAUGAUAUAUAUAUAAAUAUAUACCUAGGGAUUUUUUGGCCCAAUUUUCGGUUGGGCUGUAGCCCAUACAGCCUUUGUUGUAGUUACGUCCCUGACCGAGAUUCAAGAGAAACAAAAUCGAACUACCACUCACCGAUUAAAAAAAAUCACCAAAAGACUGCAUAAAAUGAUCUCUAUCCUCAUUUGCUUCGGCUUCUCUCUUUUCCUUUUUGGCUUGGGCUCUUUGAUUUUCUAGAAAGUAAUCAGAAUUGAUGCUCUCGAAACUUCAGAAAAGAGUAGAACAGAAAAAGAAUUAGAGAUGAUUCGGUGACUUUCGAGAGAGAUCGAGAGCAAGAAAAAGAAUUAGAAGGAAAGAGACGCAAGCCCAAGCCCAACAGACGAAAAUGCAUUGUUCUUCAGAACAGUAAGGCGGCGCCAGGCCGCAUAAUAUAUAGUUAAAUUAAAUUAAAUUUGCUUCCGACAAAAACAUUAAAACUGUCAUACUGGGUUGUCGAACAAAAUGGAAGGGUCAACAGACACUUUGCAGAUUGAACCAUCAAUAUUCAUUGUUGUUUGUUUGUGUGGAAUUCUUAAGAGAGCUUUAUGUGCAUCGUUGGUAGUACUGUUAAUUCUUAUCUCUUCGUUUAGAGUUUUCGGAACAAACACAAAGAUCAAUAUUAGUGGGUUUUGCCUUAUCUGAUAAAUCAUCGAUGGAAUACUACCAUGCUCCAACUUGAUAGCUAGGCCGUAAUCCCAACCAUAAAAGUCUUCAUGGAAAUUAUGUAAUUCAACUAUAUGUCAUGCUCAUAAUUAAGUAGUAUUCAAGGUUAGAAAUUGAUCAAAGUGCAUGUGCAUUUUAGGAAGGAGACUGGUCUUUGAAAAGAAGAGAGACCAAAAGAGAAUUGAAGAUCCCUGAUGUAUCUGGGAUUGAAAUAACAGGGGAAACUGUGUAUGUAACCAGAUUGUAAGCAAAGUUUUUUCAGCUUUUGGUACACCACAUAUAUUUUUACCAAAAUAGUGAAAACUAUUGACGUUUUCAGUAUCUUUCUAUAGCAGAGAAGAAAUGUUUAGUGAGUUCUUCCAUAUAUAUGCAAGUGUUACAUGUACCUGAUAGGGCUACUUUCUAUUUAGCAGUUUGCACAUAUACAUAUGUCGAUCUCUAUCGUCCUUAAUUUUCACAUGUUCUGAAACAAUUUGGUUGAUCAAUCUCUAUAGCAUGAUAAGAACCAAAGCCCUAGAACACCUCACACAUACUUGGUAUGUGAUCGGUUCUGUUAUGAAUAGAAAAAAAAGUGAGUGAUAGAAUAUAAAAAGGAUACUUUCUUACUUUACAGUGUGUGUUGUUUUUUCACACUAUUUCAGUUUUUUCUUUUUUCAACUUUUGAUAGACUUCGAAUAUAUAAUUGGUUUAGUGUUGAUUGUAGAAUCUUCAUUCCACAGACUGAUAUGAAACUACAUUUUUAGUGACAGCUUAAUAUUUAUUGUAGAAGGGACAAAAUCAUUCAUUAAUAAUUAAGCUUAUUCCAUUUUGCAGGUUCCAAUAAGAGAGAUCUAUUACAUUGUUUAGGGAACUGUAAGUUGCUGUAUAGUGCAACCUGUUUGGAUUCAGGUAUAUGACUAUCUCAUUUUUAUUUAUUUUUUAUUUUUGGCAAUGAACUUUUAUCCUAUAUGUUUCAGUUUUAAGUGACUCAGUUUUUGGUCAAGUGCUUCUUUUUUUUUUUUUCCGGUGGAUUAGCUUUUAGUUCCUAAACCCUAUACUUUUCAUAAUUUCGUAAUAUUCAUAAGUAUCUUUUUAGUUUGAACAUUCUUUUAUUAUUUAUCUUUACCUAACAGCCUCAGUUUUUUAGUCUUCUCGAUCUUCAUUAGCUUCAUGUAUUGAUAUAUUAUAAUUCAUUGCCGAAUUAUGGUCUUGCCCCAACUUUCUUCUUUCAUUAGUUUUCCUUUAGAAUUAUGCUUCUUCAUUCUGAGUUAUUAUGGUGCAUAGGCUUUGAAUAAGGGAAAAUGUUUAUUUAGUACUAAUUCAUUUUUGUUUUUACUUUAUGUUUAUAAUAGUGCAUGGCUAUGAUGUAUAGCUGAAUGCAAAAAAAAUAAUGGUACAAACUCUUCUUGCAUAUUUUUCUUUCUCUAUGUCUCAUACAGUCCACAAUUUUUUUCUUUUUAGGUUGCAAUAUAACAAGAGCUGAAGCAAGCAAAUUUCUCUACAACAAAUAUGACGAUAUAUCGUUUACAACCUGUUCUAUCAGCUUAGCUACUUCUUUGUUCCUUUCCAAACCCUAGCUACCUAAUCCCUCCGUUUUAAACAAUUCUAAAUUCUGCUUGAUGCACCAUAUACGGUUAUUUUUAUUGUAAAUAAUCAGCAUUUUUUAUAUUAACUUUAAGCAUAAAAAUUCAAAAACCCGCAGCAAAACGCGGACCUAAUUUCUAGUAAGUAUGUAUAUAUAGCAUAUGCACAUACAUAGUUUUAGCUACUUCUGGAGAAUUAUAUCUUUUCUUAAGUCUCAAAUGUUUCAUACAUACAUUAGUCAUCCUAAUUACUUGUGGAUAAUUUCAAGCCGACAUUUUGGACCAGAAUAGUCUCUCGGAAUUACGGAACCCGUGUCACACUCUAAUAUCCAACCUCCGUGAUGCGAGUCACUGCCGUUACCUCGGAAAAUUCCAAUGGGUAAAAGUUUGUCAAGAGGGCCAUUUCCACCCAGUUUCUAAUUUGGUCCUCAAUGGACCGCAUGCACAAAAGUCUACAAAUCACAGUUGAAAUCCAGAUUUUGAAUCAUGAAAUUGACAAACGUAUAUAUCUACAGCAAUAUACAACCACGUAUUGAACGUAUCUAAUACAUCCUCGAUCCUUCAGUUGCUUGCAACUAAUACAAUGUCUUCCGAAUCAAUAACUCUUCCAUUUCUCUUCUCCCUCAUCCUCUUAUUCCUUAGCCAUGUCUCCGCUGCCCAAACCACCGUCGUUAACGCCGCUUACUGGUUCCCGGACAGCGGCCAAGCAGCCUCCGCCAUAAACUCCACCCUCUUCACCCACCUCUUCUGUGGUUUUGCAGAUCUCAACCCCAACACUUACCAAGUCGCCAUUUCCGCAAACUCGCCUGAUCAGUUCUCAACUUUCACUCAAACAGUCCAACAGAACAACCCUAACGUCAAAACCCUCCUCUCCAUCGGCUGAGAAAACUCCAGCUCCUCCACCUUCGCCGCCAUGGCCAGCCAGGCCACUCGUCGCAAAGCAUUUAUAGACUCAUCCAUCAAAUUAGCGAGAAACUACUCCUUCUACGGCCUUGAACUAGAUUGGGAAUACCCUAACUCCACCACCGAGAUGACCAACUUCGGCAGCCUCCUCACGGAAUGGCGCUCCGCGGUGGCCAACGAGUCAAGCACCUCCGGCAAGACGGCGUUGCUGUUGACCGCUGCAGUCUUCCGCAAUGCGGAUUACUACAGCAUAAAGUAUCCGUUCCAGGCUGUUUCUAGCAGCCUGGACUGGAUCAACGUCAUGACGCGCGAUUACUACGGUUCUAGUUGGGCCGAAGGUAUAAAAAACACUUACCCGCCAGCUGCAUUAUACUCCGAUGGAUCUACCAGUCUCUUCAACGGAGACGGAUCUACCAGUCUCUUCAACGGAGACGCCGGAAUUGUGUCGUGGAUCAACACCGCCGGAAUCUCAACCAAGAAGAUAGUCAUUAGUCUUCCGUUUUACGGGUACGUUUGGAGAUUGUUAAACCCUAAUAAUCAUGGAUUUUUCGCUCCGGCUAAUGGCUCGGCUAUCAUAGCUGACGGAAAGGGUUACAACCAGAUAAGGGUUUUGAUCAGCCAAGGGUUUCAGACGGUGUACAAUGCGACGGUGGUUAGUAACUACUGUUACAAUGGGACGACUUGGAUUGGUUACGAUGAUACGCAGAGUAUUGGCGCCAAGGUUUCGUAUGCUAAAGGAAAGUCUCUUCUUGGUUACAUUGCUUUGCAUACUGGUGCUGACACAACUACCUGGACUCUCUCUCAAACAGGUAAUUAUUGCUAUUGGUAACAUUCACAUCCUCAUAUAGUACUAUGUCAUACAAGAGCUAGCGUGGUUUAUUUACCCUUGCUAACUAAGUAACUAUUAUAUGUUGUCUGAUCGAGCUCCAUAUUUGUAUUGUUUUGCAGCUUUCAGUACAUGGGUUGCAGGUAGGUUGAUUACUUGAUAUUAGCUUCCAGGUAUUCGGCAUGUUUCAUUUUGAUAAGAAAAUAUAUAGGUCACCAGACUCACCACCAUGUUUCCUUAACAGCUGAAGAGGAAGGAGGUCGACAGAACAAGAAACAGUUAUUGGUGAUUGUUCUGGUCACGAUUGUUAUGUUUAUUAUCCUACUGGGAACAAUAAUGUGUUACAUGCAAAGGAGAGUACUUAAGUCAAUUGGUAAUCUUCUUAAACUGCGUGUGAAUAUAUAUGUUGAAUCACUGUUAUUUUCAAUGUUAGUUCUCCGGCUAAGCAUUUUGGAGAGAAGUUUUCUAAUUUGUUCUUUGUUCUGAUUUUGUUUAGGGAUUGUAGGCAACAUCAAAAGAUCAGUUUAUAGGCUAUUAGAUAUAGUUCCAAGUACAGACAGUUUUGACAGCAAUGCUCCUAAUCUGCAAGUUUUUAGUUAUGCAACCAUCAAAGCAGCUACAAAAAACUUUUUGAGUAAGAAUAAGAUUGGAGAGGGUGGCUUUGGACCUGUAUAUAAGGUAGCAUCCAUGAGGAAUCGACGAUCAUUAUAUAAUAUCUGAAAUCCAAUGCAGAAUCUUUACUUCAUAUUACUGUCGAAAGUCAGUGUUCUGCAGGAAUAUGCUAAUAAUUUGGUGUUGUUUUUUUUAGGGUACGUUAAGGAAGGGCCAGCAAAUAGCUGUGAAAAGACUUUCGAAAACUUCACACCAAGGCCUUGAAGAGUUCGAAAAUGAGGUCACACUUACUGCAACACUGCACCAUGUGAAUCUAGUUAGAGUUCUGGGAUACUGCACCAAGAGGGAAGAAAAGAUGCUGAUAUAUGAGUACAUGCCAAACAAAAGCUUGGAUCUCUACCUAUUUGGUAUCUCCAUUCUCCUUUGCUUUGAAAAUUUGAAUCACAUUGAAUUAUUUCUAUAGCUUAAAAUGCAUAACAAGCACUUACAGAAGGUCCAAAGGUGAAGUGACGCUCACAUAAGAUUGAAAGAAGCCUGCCAAGACCAAUUUAAGCUCAUUUGAUCAAUCUGAUGGUUGGUAGUUUACUUUCAUACAGAUCCAAGUAGACGCGAUCUUUUGCAUUGGGAGAAACGUGUCCACAUCAUUGAAGGGGUAAUUCAAGGGCUUCUAUAUCUCCAAGAAUACUCAAACUCUACAAUAAUUCACCGUGAUCUGAAAUCUAGCAACAUUUUGUUAGAUGAUAAGAUGAACCCGAAAAUAUCAGAUUUUGGUCUAGCCAGAGCUUUCAGAAAGAAUGAACUUGAGGCAAACACUGGUCGCAUUGUAGGAACACAGUAAGUGAAUUGCACUUUACAUUUUCAGUAGACAUGCUUCAUAUAUCAUACCGAUCACAGACUCACCGUUCUUAUGUGAAAUGCAGUGGCUAUGUUCCCCCUGAAUAUGUAAGAAGAGGCAUUUAUUCCAUGAAAUCUGAUGUUUACAGCUUCGGUGUUCUGCUUCUGCAUAUCAUAAGUGGCAAGAGAAGUUCAUGCUUUUAUGGCAUAGAUGGAAAUCUAAACCUUCUAGAUCACGUAAGUCGAUAAGUACAAAGGCUUUCUAUGUUUUGCAUAAUAUAUAUGGGCAAGAAUUUAGAAUUGUAUAACAUUAACUCGGACAUUUCAGGCAUACGAGUUGUGGAAAAAAGGCCAUGCCAUGGAUUUUGU